rnacentral:lncRNA from 1 species
UAAUCUUUAAUUUGAUAUGCAUAUUAAAUAUUAUAUAAUUAAUCGAAUUUCACAAUUUUAGAAAGAAAUAAAAUAAAAAAAUAAGAAGAUAAAGAAAAAGAAAAUAAAAAGAAAAAACAUAACAAAUAAGCCUUCAAUUUUAUUAUUACUACAAAAUUACCACUUUUGAAAUUGAUUUGAAAUUGAAAGUUGUCUUUUUAAUACUGCUAGGAUUUGGACCCCCUGC